rnacentral:ribozyme from 13 species
UUUUUUUUUUUUUUUUUUUUUUUUUUUUUUUCGCCCAA